rnacentral:lncRNA from 1 species
UAUACAAGAAUAUCUUUGUGACCUUGGGGUACAGGAAGAGUUUUUAAGCAAGAUCCAAAAAGUGCCAAGCCAAAUAAAAGAUUGAUAAAUGUUUCUACAUUAAAAUUAAGAAAUCCUGGCUAUAAAAGGGCACUAUGAACAGAAUGAAAAGUCAAGCCACAGAGAUGAUGGUUGGAAUGCAUAUAAGCAACAGAAGGCUGAAAUCCAAAAUAAGCAGUAAGAAAGGCAGGCAACUGAGUCAAAAAAUGAGCAAUGACUUGAACAGGAAAUUCACAGAAAAUAUGGAAAUGCCAAAAAGCAUAUGAAAGAGUGCUCAAUUUUAUUUGUUAUCAGGGAAACCUAAAUUAAAAGCACGAGAUACCAAAUAUCUAAAACUAAGAAUGACAUUACUAAGUAUUGGUGCUGAUGUGAAGCAACUGGACCUCAUGCACUGCUGGGAGUGCAAAUUGUUAUGCCCACUUUGGAAAACAGUUUGACACUAUCUGAAGUUGAAAAUAAUGCAUUCUCUGUGACCCAGCUAUUCCAUUCCUAGGUAUAUACUUGUUAUGGUCUGAAUGUUUGUGUCUCCCUAAAAUUCAUAUGUUGAAAUCCUAACCCCCAAGGUGACAGUAUUAAGAGGUAGGGCCUUUGGAAGGUGAUUAGAUCAUGAAGUCAUAGCCCCCGUGAAUGGGAUUAGCACCCUUACAAUAAAAGAGGCUGAAGGAACUUCUUUGCUUGUUCUAGCAUAUAAUGACACAGUAAGAAGGUGCCAUCUAUGAAAGAAGCAGGACACCAGUCACCAAAUCUGCUGGUGCCUUGAUUUUGGACUUCUCAGCCUCCAGAACUAUUGCAGAUCACAGAACUUUAUUAAGAUGAAAUCACUGCGAAUUACACAGAAGCUACCAGACUAAGCCAAAAUCCAUGAGGUUCAUGUGAACUUACAGUUACAGAAAUAAGAAACAAAUGGCAUAUCCAAAACCAUAAGGAAAUAUCCUGAUGCCCAGGAUCUCCAGACUCGGUCAGCAUCUUUCGCUCGUCCUCCAGUCCUAUGUCUGGCUACGGUUCUGGAUUCAACACGAGCAGCAACUGCGGCACCUAAUCCACUUCAGGAUCUAGAAGGACUUGUUGACAAAUCCUGUUCACCAGAAAUUACAGCAGAGAUUGUAGACAGGAAGCUGCAGAGGAAAGAGGCACAAUGAGAAAUCAAGCUUGGACACAUUUGGUAGACUCCUAUAGUUAGGUAAUAACUCAUACAGUUAGGUAAUUGCAUAACGAUUGAUAGCCCAGAAAUUGGAGCUCAUCCAGUAAUUCUGUCACAUAGUCAUGUCUCCCUCUGCUGGCAAAACUUGGUUUGUUUGUUUUUGGUUUUGGUUUUGAGAUGUCGCCCAGGCUGGAGUGCAGUGGUACGAUCUCGGCUCACUGCAACCUCCACCUCCCAGGUUCAAGUGAUUCUCCUGCCUCAGCCUCCUGAGUAGCUGGGAUUACAGGCUCGUGCCACUAGGCCUGGCUAAUUUUUGUAUUUUUAGUAGAGACGGGGUUUCGCCAUGUUG